UGCUUGCUUGUACAGCAAUAUACCAAAAUUAAAAUGAUACAGAGAUCAGCACGACCCCUGUGCAAACAUGACACACAAAUUCAGGAAAUGUUCCCUAUUUUU
rnacentral:snRNA from 1 species